rnacentral:rRNA from 1 species
GACGAACCGUGCGAACGUUAUUCGGAAUCAUUGGGCUUAAAGGGCGCGUAGGCGGGCGACCGCGUCGAGUGCUAAAAGCCCCCGGCUCAACCGGGGAACGGGCCUCGAUACGGGUCGCCUCGAGGCGAGGAGGGGGACCUGGAACUUCCGGUGGAGCGGUGAAAUGCGUUGAGAUCGGAAGGAACGCCGACGGCGAAAGCAAGGUCCUGGACUCGUCCUGACGCUGAGGCGCGAAAGCCAGGGGAGCGAACGGG